AUGACGUUGUGCCGGAGCUCGACUGGCCCAGGGCCAGCGCCUGUUCCUGCCACCGGCCAGGCCUGCAGCCUGCAGCCAGCGUGCCGUGCCCUGCCAGGCCGUGCUGUGCCCUGCCUUUGCCGUGCCAUACCUGGCAGUGCCAUGCCAUGCCCUGCCACGCCAUGCCAUGUCACGCCGUGCCCUGCCGUGCCAUGCCUUGUCCUGCUCUGCCAUGCCCGGCUCCCGGAGCCGUGCCACGCUGCACGCCUGCUCCCGGAGCCGUGCCAUGCCGUGCCGUGUCCCGGCCGGCGUGGAGUGCAGCGUGCCGCCACAUGCGCCUGUAAUCGGAGCCAUGCGGAGACAAAGAGGCAGCAGAGCCGACAGGGAAUGCCCAGCCAGGGCCUCUGCCAGCGAGGGGUCUCCGUUCCCCCCUCGGCCCCCCAGCGCCGGGCAGGAGGUCCCGGUACAGCCAGGGGACCGGGGCUGCUUCCCGUCUCCAGGAAGGCAGGGGGAGGAUGGGGUCGAUGGGGGCCACUGUGUCCGGGUCUGCCUGGCUGGUGGGGAGGGGUCCCAGGCACCGUGCGGAGUGCCAGCCUGGUGCUGGGAGAUGCCAGCGCCGCCCCAAGGGGCUUGGGCCGGGGACAGCCCAGGGGGCCGGGAGCCAGAGGGGGCCGCGCUGCUGCGGCGCUUCCCGCAGCCCCAUUGUCCCCGGGGCGGAUGCUGCCGGCAGCACUUCCACGAAUUCAGCCCGGGCAGACGGCACAGGGGAGGCACAGCGGGGGGCACAGAGGGUGCCCCUGGGCUGGCAGAUCCCCAGGCUGCUCCCCCUCCCCGUUCCUCCCCCAAGCUCUCCCCGGGGCAGUUCCUGGCUCCUCCAGGAGAGUGGCUGCUGCUGGCCCCACUGCCCUUGGGGGGAGCACCGGCUGGCCAGCACUGCCCGGAGCGGGUUGGUGGCCACCGCCUGCCGCAGCUGGGGACGCUCAAGUGGCCAGGCUGCCUGUUGUGGGUGACCUUGCAGGGACAAGGGCAGCCGGCCGUGCUGCUCUGCUGCCCUUCCAACCCUGA
rnacentral:lncRNA from 1 species